rnacentral:rRNA from 1 species
GCUUACGCCGUGCAUAGAGGCGCUGAGAUACUGGGAGUGAAGACGGUGUGCUGAAUUACUGGGCGGAAAGCGCGAUCAGGCGGUGUGUUAGAGAUGAAGUAAAAUCCCGUGGCUCAACCCCGGAAGUAGAUUGGAAACUAGGAUACUAGAGUAACGGAGAGGGGGGUAGAAUUCCUGGUGUAGCGGUGAAAUGCGUAGAUAUCAGGAGGAACACCAGUGGCGAAGGCGACCCUCUGGACGGAUACUGACGCUGAAACGCGAAAGCGUGGGGAGCAAACAGGAUUAGAUACCCGAGUAGUC